UGGGGAAUAUUGGACAAUGGGCGAAAGCCUGAUCCAGCCAUGCCGCGUGUGUGAAGAAGGUCUUCGGAUUGUAAAGCACUUUAAGUUGGGAGGAAGGGCAUUAACCUAAUACGUUAGUGUUUUGACGUUACCGACAGAAUAAGCACCGGCUAACUCUGUGCCAGCAGCCGCGGUAAUACAGAGGGUGCAAGCGUUAAUCGGAAUUACUGGGCGCAAAGCGCGCGUAGGUGGGUUGUUAAGUUGGAUGUGAAAUCCCCGGGCUCAACCUGGGAACUGCAUUCAAAACUGACUGACUAGAGUAUGGUAGAGGGUGGUGGAAUUUCCUGUGUAGCGGUGAAAUGCGUAGAUAUAGGAAGGAACACCAGUGGCGAAGGCGACCACCUGGACUAAUACUGACACUGAGGUGCGAAAGCGUGGGGAGCAAACA
rnacentral:rRNA from 1 species